AGUUGACACAUCAGAUUUUUCAGAUGUUCUCAGCUUGACACAUCAGUAAAAAUCUUUGUCCAAUCAAAUUAUAACAAUUAAUACAGCUCAUCAUUUUCGUCCAAUCAAAAUGCUCUCUUCUAACACAUCAUUUGUUAACAUCAUCAUCUUGGGCUUAUUACAUUUAUUCAUGGCCCAUCUUUAUGUUUUUAAAUCUUGUUAUAACCCCAAACGUGAUGGGCUGUGUUUUAAACAAACAACUAUGUACUUUCGUUUGUGGGUCGUGAACUUUGCUUUAAAUGGGUGAGAGAUGUUUGGGAUUUAAAGUAGCCUAUUUCUAUUUUGAUUAUCUUAACAGCUCAAAAAUGAUGAAGACAACAACUCUAGAGACAGAUGAGAAGCUUGUUGUCGUCUCAACAUACGUUGGAUCUCUCUUUUUGGUAAAAAAUAUAAAGUAACGCCUUGCUUACGUUUCUUCCUCUUCUUAUCAAGCACAUUCGAUAUGGUGAUCUUCCUUUCUUCGCAUCGGCGAUAAAUACAUAAGAGAACCACGGUGCUUGCAGCAGUAAACGAAGAUACCAGUGUUGGAUCAGUGUUAUCCCUCAAGUUGGUUGAAAAUCUGGGUUUGGGUCUAUUCUGUAAUGCACACGAAGUGAUCGACGAAAUUCCAGAGUUGAAAUCAACAUUUCAUCAUUAGAGAAGCAAAUACAGAAGCUUUGAGGAGAAGAACGAGCAAGACAAUCAGGUAUCGAGUCUGCAUAUUCUUCUAAGACAGAACAAAUGUCACUAAUUUGUGAUAGCUUCACAAAGAGGAACAAACGGUUUAGAGUUAUAGGCUUGAAAUCAUGUUGGUUAUCGUUUAUUUGGUGGUUUUGCUGGCUGGUUUAGAUUAUAGGAUUGAACUCUUGAAGCUAGAAUGAAGUAGGACUGUCUUGGGUUUGAUAAGGUUUAUGGCUGCAAUUUUCUGGUUUUGAUUAGCGCACACAAGAUUUUGAAAUGUGAGUGAGACUGUGAGAGAUGAUAUACCUUGAAGAAAAUUGAGUUAUUUGUGGUAGUGGAAUGCUUCAAACUCAAGGUUUUAUAACAAGAAGCUGGGAGUAUCAGCCAAAAGAACGACUUAAAAAGUAGGCUUAUAAGAAUUUCCAUGUAAUUGAGUUGCGCAGGGACUUAAAGUUUCAAACUUUGUUGAAUUAGUUGGACAUACAAAAAAAAAUGAAGUCACUGUUUCUGCCAUUCAUAUUACACUCACGUCGACGAUAAAUUUAAGUCUAACCAAGAGCACUCGCUAAGUAUAAACUGGUGUUUUUGGGAGAUCAAACCGUCGGCAAUACCAGUAUCAUCACUCGGCUCAUGUACGACAUAUUCGACAAUACUUAUCAGGCCAUGCAAUUGGUAUCGAUUUUCUAUCAAACACAAUGUACCUUGCAGAUAGAACGGUCAGACUUCAGUUGUGAUGACUCGCAGAGAUAGAGUUAAAGAAUUUGGUGAGAGACGACGACGAUGAGAGUAGAAGAGUGUCUCUGGUCUACCACGUUUCAUUAAGAUUGAGCCUUUAAGUUUGGCUUCAAUGUGAGUACUAUGUUAAAGGCCCAAUGUGAGUACUACGUGUUUUGAACAUUGAGCCUAUAACUUUGGCAUCCCUUAUUGUUUACAUGUGGUGGUGUUCAUUAAGAUUUAUGCA